UACAGAGGUCCCAAGCGUUGUUCGGAUUCACUGGGCGUAAAGGGUGCGUAGGCGGUCGGGUAAGUCUGGCGUGAAAUCUCCAAGCCUAACUUGGAAACUGCGUUGGAUACUAUCCGGCUCGAGGAAUGGAGGGGAGACUGGAAUACUUGGUGUAGCAGUGAAAUGCGUAGAUAUCAAGUGGAACACCAGUGGCGAAGGCGAGUCUCUGGACAUUUCCUGACGCUGAUGCACGAAAGCCAGGGGAGCAAACGGG
rnacentral:rRNA from 1 species